ACAGACUUCCACGCUCAGAGAAGGGAUGGCUGCUAGGGCUGCUGCUGCUGCUGCUCUGGAGAACCAACACCACGGCUUGGUCCAGUGCUGCUCAGGGCUGGAAAGCUGUUGAAGAAAACUGAGAAAAGUAGGAAGAGAUUUAAAAGAUAACAAUGUGAGAAAAGCCAUGGAUAUACGCAGAUGUCUGAAAAUACAUCCACUGUCUGAUAAACAAGGCUACAUAUAAUCAGGGAGUGGAAGAUGUGUUGGUACAUAGAAGCCUGAGUAGCACUGAGAUGAGAGCAAUGUAAAUAUAUAAACAGGAAUGCUAAGGUUGUCCUCAGCUGCCCUGGUACUGCAGCACACCUGGUGCAUAGGGUACCCAUAGCUUGGGGAACCCUUCCUGUUCUGCCCAACAGAAGAACAAAGGGUUCACUUUCAGCUGCUCAGUCUGAUCGAGGUCUUUACACAGAUUGGCAAGACUUCUUCCACGCAAUUCGUCAAGAAUGACUUACAAAGAUGCAGUUAUUGGUUCAGCAGUUGACAGCAGCAUGGAUUUCUUUUCCAGUUUCCUUCUUUUUUUCUUUUUCCUACUACAUGCAAAUCCAACAGCUCACUUCUGCUCAGUUAUCAUUCAUCAAAACCAUGAAGUAUGCAGAAAUAGACACUAUCAAAUAAUCCAGGGUGAGCCUCACCAAGCUGUAUUUUGUCCCAGAGCAAGAGGCAGCUGACCAAACCAACCACCACUUCCAAAUCUGUGCACUGUUUACACACAUUAAACAGGAGGUGGCAAGCACAUGCGACCAUCUGCACACUGAAUGUGAAGUUUCAAGUAUUUUUCAUUACUUCUGUAGGAGACAAUACAGUGUUCUUUUUAACUUGUACCUCAGCUUUUUUUUUUUUCAGACCACUAUAAGAAAUGUUUAAAUUGGUACUAAAAAUUUCCACAACUGAAAU
rnacentral:lncRNA from 7 species